AGAGUUUGAUUCUGGCUCAGGACGAACGCUGGCGGCGUGCUUAACACAUGCAAGUUGAACGGUAUGACAUGGAAGCUUGCUGAAGUGUCAUAUAGUAGCGGACGGGUGAGUAAUGCAUGAGAAGCUGCCAUUGGGAGGGGGACAACAGUUGGAAACGGCUGCUAAUACCCCGUAUGCCGGAGGGUGAAAAGGGAGUAAUCCGCCCGAUGAGGUGCUCAUGUCCUAUCAGCUGGUUGGUGGGGUAACGGCCUACCAAGGCGACGACGGGUAGCCGGCCUGAGAGGGUGAACGGCCACACUGGAACUGAGAUACGGUCCAGACUCCUACGGGAGGCAGCAGUGGGGAAUAUUGGGCAAAUGGGGGCAACCCUGACCCAGCGACGCCGCGUGGGGGAAGACGGCCUUCGGGUCGUAAACCUCUUUUGUACGGGAAGAAGGAAGUGACGGUACUGUACGAAUAAGUCCCGGCUAACUACGUGCCAGCAGCAGC
rnacentral:rRNA from 1 species